GGCGCUAUCAUUGAACUGAUGCACACUUAUUCUCUUCUGUUCAGAAGAGACUCUGGGAGUCUUUGGAAGAGAAGGUAAAGGCUGCAAAGUGGCAAUCUUGGAGGUAUUCCUAUUUCCUUUUAGGAGGAUGAAGAGAAGUAAAAUUCUGACAGGCCAGUAACAAGGUUCAUAGGCUCUGAUUUGGGCUAAAAUUAGGAGUUAAUGGCAAUUUAAAAAUAUCUCCAUAGUCUACAGACUCUUAAGAUGCCCCAGGAAGUGCUUGGAUUAUCCAAACACAGUUUAAUUUCCAUUGGUUUCUUCACGGUAUUUGAUGUGUGGAAUUUGCGUGGAGGGUAUUGAGAUGUCUGUUGCUGUAGAGAAUUCUAACACAGCUUCUAUAGGUGUGCCUGCUCCUGCCCUUAUCCUGCAGGCGUCUUUAUCCUUUACAGCUCUGUGAAACCUUACGAAACCUUCCAAUACAAUCAUCUUCUGUUCCUGUC
rnacentral:lncRNA from 1 species